rnacentral:rRNA from 1 species
UCGUCUACGUUAAGCRCACUAUACCGUGAAACUGCGAAUGGCUCAUUAAAUCAGUUAUCGUUUAUUUGAUAGUACCCUACUACUUGGAUAACCGUGGUAAUUCUAGAGCUAAUACAUGCCAAAAACCCCGACUUCGGAAGGGGUGUAUUUAUUAGAUAAAAAGCCAACGCCCUUCGGGGCUCCCUGGUGAUUCAUGAUAACUUCACGAACCGCAUGGCCUUGCGCCGGCGGUGGUUCAUUCAAAUUUCUGCCCUAUCAACUUUCGAUUGUUGGGUAUUGGCCAACAAUGGUUACGACGGGUGACGGAGAAUUAGGGUUCGAUUCCGGAGAGGGAGCCUGAGAAACGGCUACCACAUCCAAGGAAGGCAGCAGGCGCGCAAAUUACCCAAUCCCGACGCGGGAGGUAGUGACAAUAAAUACUGAUACAGGGCUCUUUUGGGUCUUGUAAUUGGAAUGAGUACAAUUUAAAUCCCUUAACGAGGAACAAUUGGAGGGCAAGUCUGGUGCCAGCAGCCGCGGUAAUUCCAGCUCCAAUAGCGUAUAUUAAAGUUGUUGAGGUUAAAAAGCUCGUAGUUGAACCUUGGGCUCGGCUGUCCGGUCCGCCUCACCGCGUGCACUGGACUGGUCGGGCCUUUUUUCCUGGAGAACCGCAUGCCCUUCACUGGGUGUGUCGGGGAACCAGGACUUUUACCGUGAACAAAUCAGAUCGCUCAAAGAAGGCCUAUGCUCGAAUAUACUAGCAUGGAAUAAUAGAAUAGGACGUGCGGUUCUAUUUUGUUGG